UACGUAGGGGGCGAGCGUUGUUCGGAGUUACUGGGCGUAAAGGGUGUGUAGGCGGUUCUUUAAGUUUGGUGUGAAAUCUCCCGGCUCAACCGGGAGGGUGCGCCGAAUACUGAGGGACUCGAGUGCGGGAGAGGAAAGUGGAAUUCCUGGUGUAGCGGUGAAAUGCGUAGAUAUCAGGAGGAACACCGGUGGUGUAGACGGCUUUCUGGACCGUAACUGACGCUGAGACACGAAAGCGUGGGUAGCAAACAGG
rnacentral:rRNA from 1 species